UAAUACAUGCAAGUCGAACGCGUUGGCCCAAUUGAUUGAUGGUGCUUGCACCUGAUUGAUUUUGGUCGCCAACGAGUGGCGGACGGGUGAGUAACACGUAGGUAACCUGCCCAGAAGCGGGGGACAACAUUUGGAAACAGAUGCUAAUACCGCAUAACAACGUUGUUCGCAUGAACAACGCUUAAAAGAUGGCUUCUCGCUAUCACUUCUGGAUGGACCUGCGGUGCAUUAGCUUGUUGGUGGGGUAAUGGCCUACCAAGGCGAUGAUGCAUAGCCGAGUUGAGAGACUGAUCGGCCACAAUGGGACUGAGACACGGCCCAUACUCCUACGGGAGGCAGCAGUAGGGAAUCUUCCACAAUGGGCGCAAGCCUGAUGGAGCAACACCGCGUGAGUGAAGAAGGGUUUCGGCUCGUAAUGCUUUGUUGU
rnacentral:rRNA from 1 species